UUGGAUAUUAAAGUCUGGAAAAUGACAGAGGACUAGAUUCCAGAAGAAAGCCCAGACCAGGACAAGUUGACUUUGCUGAGCAUUUAUUCCAUGAACUGCAUGUGCGUGGUUAAAUGCCAGAGCAAGGCUAGUCCUGCAGGGGUGGGGUGGGAGGGGAGGACAGGACUGCCUUGGAAUGAGCGGUCUGCGGCUUCAAGAAAGUUAACACUUGCUUUUAUUUUUAUUUUUUUUUUGGUGUAAAGCCUUAGAAGUCCUCUUGGGGGAGGGGGGGAGUUUUCUCAGAGCCUGUUAGGGGUGUGAAGUUUUUCUGUUUUCUUGAGACUGCAAUCGUGCAGGCAAAAAAUGAGGAAUAAGCCUGAAAAAAAAGAAGAAAAAAAUUAAAAAAAAAAAGAGGAAGGGGAAGGCUCCCGUGGUACAAGCUGGACGUUUGCUUCCCAAAGCGUUGGAGUGAACGGUGCAGGGUAGGGAGGUGGGUGGUGAAGCAGAGAGAGGCAGGAUGGGGGUGCGUUCACCUACGAGAAGGUGGUAGGGUUGGUGUUGGGGUGACAUGGCUCAUUACUGGGGGUGACAUGGCUUUAUUAAUUACUGGAGCACGCCCCAGUGGCAGAAGAAGUGCGUCCUGCUGAAGCAAUUAGGUCGCCAGGUUAUGAAUUGGUCCAGGGUGCUUUUUCUUUAUAUGAUUAAUUUUAUUUUUUGUUUUUUUUUUCCUGAGGGAAAAUGAAAUGGGUAAUUAAGGUGGGAAGGGGAGCUGAGUUUGAUACCGCAGGACUAGCUGCUGUGCAGCCACACGCCCAGGGAAGUCCUCGUUUCCAAAUAAACAGGCUCCCUGGACUCAAAAAAAGCAAUUCUCUCAGAGAAGCGGAGCGGCUGGAUGUGCGCGGAGGAUGCGAGAGAGAAGCAGGAGAGGAACUGAGCAGCGAGCUUGCCCGAGUUGUGGGAAGGGUUAAAAAAACGUUUCUGGGUUAGAAAGCCACGUUUUUUUUUGGACUUUGAGAAGAACUUGCACUAGGGAGCUGUAGGUGGAGCUUGUCUUUUCAAUAUUGAAACCCGGGAGUUGUGUUUUGCCAGGAAUCUUUCUCCCCGUUUGUCAAAAUGGGAAGAUGAUUACUUUUCCAUCACUUGAAAUACAGAUACUUGCUAACUUUUGGUUACCAAAGAAUAAGUUACUUUUCCUUUUUGAUUUGCCUGCAGUAUUUCUCUUCUUUUUUUUUUUUUUUUUAACCUUAAUAAUUUAGCGAGGUUGGUUUUUAUUGUAUAUUUUACAGAUAAUAAAAAACAUUUAACGGUUUUCCA
rnacentral:lncRNA from 1 species